AUUGAACGCUGGCGGCAUGCUUUACACAUGCAAGUCGAACGGUAACAGGCCGCAAGGUGCUGACGAGUGGCGAACGGGUGAGUAAUGCAUCGGAACGUGCCCAGUCGUGGGGGAUAACUACUCGAAAGAGUAGCUAAUACCGCAUACGAUCUAUGGAUGAAAGCGGGGGACCGUAAGGCCUCGCGCGAUUGGAGCGGCCGAUGUCAGAUUAGGUAGUUGGUGGGGUAAAGGCUCACCAAGCCAACGAUCUGUAGCUGGUCUGAGAGGACGACCAGCCACACGGGGACUGAGACACGGCCCAGACUCCUACGGGAGGCAGCAGUGGGGAAUUUUGGACAAUGGGCGCAAGCCUGAUCCAGCAAUGCCGCGUGCAGGAAGAAGGCCUUCGGGUUGUAAACUGCUUUUGUACGGAACGAAACGGCUCUGGUUAAUACCCGGGGCUAAUGACGGUACCGUAAGAAUAAGCACCGGCUAACUACGUG
rnacentral:rRNA from 1 species